UUUUUUGACCCUACCACGUGAUUAAAAGACCUGUUUCCUGUCCUUUCCGCUCCCAUAGAUAAGAGCACUGAGGGCCAGACUAGUAGUUGGGUCGGUGACGACCAGCGAAUCCCUGGUGUUGUAUGUU
rnacentral:rRNA from 1 species